ACACAGUGCCAAGCACAAAGAGUCACUCAGCAAAUAUUUAUUGAAUGAGAGUUGACUAAAACAAAUAAUUACAGAACAUGAUACAGACUAUGACAGAAGCAAAAGUGGGCUGUGGCUAUUUGAAAAUCAGAGCAUCUUUUAAAAGGGAGACGGCAUCUGAACCUUGCCGAGUAGGAAUGUUCCAGAAGUAAGAGAGAUGACUAGGGUUUCAAGAACAAGGACCAGCACCUAUGAAGGCUCUGAGGCACAGACCACUGUGACCUGUGGAGAAGUGCAGACAGUCUUGAUAAGGGGCGGGAGGAACGGACGCAACAAGGAGAAAGGAAGCAACGGAAGGUCUUCGGCUGCUAAAAAAUGUAACUGACAAAGAGUCCAGGGCUGUUUGUAUUUUUCUUCCUCUGUGUCUCAUAUUAAACACUUUGGGUCUGAUGACUGAGUUUCUCCA